rnacentral:rRNA from 1 species
UACGAAGGGGGCUAGCGUUGCUCGGAAUUACUGGGCGUAAAGCGCACGUAGGCGGCUUUCUAAGUCGGGGGUGAAAUCCUGGAGCUCAACUCCAAGAACGUGCCUUCGAUACUGGAGAGCUUGAGUCCAGGAGAGGUGAGUGGAACUGACGAGUGUAGAGGUGAAAUUCGUAGAUAUCGCAAGAACACCAGUGGCGAAGGCGGCUCACUGGCCCGGUACUGACGCUGAGGUGCGAAA